rnacentral:lncRNA from 1 species
CACGGUGGCUCAUGCCUAUAAUCCCAACAAUUUGGGAGGCAGAGACAGGAGGAUUGCUUGAGUCCAGAAGUUCGAGACCAGCCUGGCCAACAUAGUGAGACCCUGUCUCUAUUCACAUAUUUAAAAAUUAAAAGAAGUUUGGCAGCGUGUUCAGGAAGGACAGGACCUACUUCGAUCAUCUUACGACCAUGAGACAGGAUGGAGAAGGGAAGAAGCUUACACUUGGCAAUCUUCUAGGGAGGACUUUGGCUGAACCCAGUGAACCAGGAGGAAAAGAAUCACAAACAUCUGGAGUUUGUUGACUAGAAAAAUUCCUUGUGGUCUGACAGAUUACCAUUUCCUACCCAGCCAUUCUCAUCAGAGAAACCAGUCCCAUUUUCAACUGGCGCGGCUAGUUGAAAGUUCCACAUGUUUCCCCAGAAAAUGGCAUAGCCAGAAGGCCCUCACCAGAUUCCAGCACCAGCCUCCAGAACAUGAGCCAAAUAAAUCAUCGUUUAUAAAUUACCCAGUCUCAGGUAUUCUGUUUUAGCAACACAAAACAGACAAAAA